rnacentral:rRNA from 1 species
GCCAUAGCUGAAGCCCAAUAAAACCACCAAAUAUACUAUACCAUUAAAAUCAAACCAUUUGACUAAAAAAGUAUUUGAGAAAGAACUUUUAAGCCGGAGCAAAUCUACCGCAAGGGAAAAUUGAAAGAAAAAUGAACAACAAAGCACAACAAAGCAAAGAUCACCCUUGUACCUCUCGCAUCAUGAUUUAGCAAGCAACCCCAGACAAAGAGGCCUUAAGCCUGACGUCCCGAAACUGAGUGAGCUACUUCCGGGCAAUAAUAUGAUC